rnacentral:rRNA from 1 species
GUACGAGAGGACCGGGGUGGACGGACCUCCGGUGUACGGGUUGUUAACCAAUAGCAUUGCCCGGUAGCUGAGUCCGGUCGGGAUAACCGCUGAAAGCAUCUAAGCGGGAAGCCCAUCCCAAGAUGAGUUUUCCUUUCGGUAAGACCCCUUGUAGACUACGAGGUUGAUAGGAUGCAGAUGUAAGUGCUGUAAGGCAUUCAGUCGAGCAUUACUAAUCGGUCGAGCUCUUCUUUUCUUUAAUAUAUUUU